CCUACGGGCGGCAGCAGUGGCGAAUAUUGCACAAUGGGGGAAACCCUGAUGCAGCGACGCCGCGUGAGUGAAGAAGUAUUUCGGUAUGUAAAGCUCUAUCAGCAGGGAAGAAAUAGCGACCUUUGGGUCGCCAGACGGUACCUGACUAAGAAGCCCCGGCUAACUACGUGCCAGCAGCCGCGGUAAUACGGAGGGGGCAAGCGUUAUCCGGAUUUACUGGGUGUAAAGGGAGCGUAGACGGCAGCACAAGUCUGAAGUGAAAUGCCGGGGCUUAACCCCGGAACUGCUUUGGAAACUGUGCAGCUAGAGUGCAGGAGAGGUAAGUGGAAUGCGUAGUGUAGCGGUGAAAUGCGUAGAUAUUAGGAGGAACACCAGUGGCGAAGGCGGCUUACUGGACUGUAACUGACGUUGAGGCUCGAAAGCGUGGGGAGCAAACAGGAUUAGAUACCCCGGUAGUC
rnacentral:rRNA from 1 species